rnacentral:miRNA from 1 species
UAAGUUUGUUCUUGGUAUAAGCUUUUGUGUGCAUGAAGUAUGCAUGCACAUGAAAGCUUAUACCAAGAACAAACUUA